AUUCUUCCCAAGCAGUCUCCUUCUAGCACCUAUCAGCCCUAUCCUAGCCACAAAUUUAUUUCAUAACAAUGACAGUAUUUUGGGUACACUAAUAAUUAGUGAUUUGUUUCAAUGACAGCCAAAUAAUUGACUCAUAAGCUGAUGAGCUGGUUCUCCUUCAAGCUUUCUACAGUAUACUUUAGGCACCUCCAGCGGAGUGAAGUGAAUACCCAAGCUUUUUGGAUUUCUCCUGGGACACCUGGAAGGCUGGCACAUAAGACAACAAGAACAUGCAGUAAAGAGUGCCAAAAGAGGAGGGGGCGCACCCUACGAAUACAGAGAGAAGCUCAACCAGUAUCAAUGAAAGGUUUAAAUAGCUCAGCCACAAAUUUUGAAUAUGUGCAUCCUCUUUGUUCUCUUCCCACAAAGAUAUUCCUUCGAUUUAGUGAAACAGUCCUAGUUUUCUUUAUGCCAUUCUACUGUUGUUCCUA